UACCAGGUUUUCAGUUGGCUACUGGGACUUUUUGAAAAUAGGUGUAGGAGGUAUCUUGGAUGGAGGAACAGGUAGAGUGCAUCCUUCCUUUUGAAAGGAACUGUGACAGAUAUCUCUCUGUGUGCAAUUCCUUCCUAGAAACAACUCUAGCUUUCUCUUAAGGAGAGCACAGUAACCAGAGACAGAAGGCUGUUUGACAUAGCCUGGCAGAAAAGAAAGCGGAGUUCAAACUCUGCUUCAUAUUUUCUAAGUAGAGCCACAGCCAAACAGCUUUUAUGACUUUCUUCAGCAUUUUGUAAAAGAAACACCAACAGACCAGGAGGCAGCUACAUACCCCAGAAGAUUUAUGAGAUCAUCCAGCAAAAAGGAAAGGCAAUGAUGUGAGGAAGAUGAGAGUGGGAGACACACUGAACAAGGAAGGGUCCACAGGAAACCAGAGAAAGCUUAAAGACCUGCCUCCUAGCUCAUAGUCUCCUGGCCUUGGCCAGUGCCUGAACCCUGUUACUAAAUGUGUCUCAAGGCAUCUGCAUUGCUCAGUGAACUCUGUCUUGCAUCCUAAGUUGCUUCCCUGUUGCUUGGGGACUCACAGUUUGGGUAACAUGUAUCGUAAUGUUGGUUUUAUGUAUGUGUGGGUGUCUUUUUGGGAAAGAAGGAAAAUUUGAACCUCAUUCUCCCACCUUUUUAGUAAUUGCCUGCCAGACUGUUUGGUAGUGAUGGGGAGGCAGGCUGAUGGUGCUGGCUUAUUUUCCACUUGACAGCAUCACAAAACUAAGGGAAAAAACCCCUUUACUCAGUUUGUACUCAGAAAGUUGUUUGUUUUGUUGUGUUUGAUUUGGGUUUUUCCUUUAACCUACUAAUGUAUUAGUCUUCUCACAACUUCAAAUUUUGUGUAAUUAAGGAAGACUUUAAAGUGAUGGGGUUUUCCUCCUCAAUUUUGAUUAUUGCUUUUGACCUGUAAUUUGGAGACCGGAAGGCUGGAUUCCCCUCCCAUGUCAUAUGCACGCCUCUGAAUUACACUGAAUUACAGAAUCACAGAAUAUGCUGGAAGGGACCCACAAGCAUCAUUGAGUCCAACUCCUGGUCCUGCACAGGACCAUCCCCAAGAGUCACACCACAUACCUGAGAGUAUUGUCCAAAUGCUUCUUGAACUCUGUCAGGCUUGGUGAUGUGACCACUUCCUGGGGAGCCUGUUCCAGUGCCCAACCACCCUCUGGGUGAAGAACCUCUUUCUAAUAUCCAGCCUAAACCUGCCCUGACACCACUUCACGCCACUUCCUCAGGUUCUGUCAUGUGUCACCACAGAGAAGAGAUCAGUGCCUGCCCCUCCUCUUCCCCUCACGAGGAAGUUGUAACUGCAAUGAGGUCUCUCCUCAGUCUCCUCUUCUCCAGGCUGAACAGACCAAGUGCCCUCAGCUGCUCCUCAUACGGCUUCCUCUCACAGCCCUUCACCAUCUUUGUUGCACUCCUUUGGAUGCUCUCCAAUAGCUUAGAAUCUUUCUUAUAUUGCUGUGACCAAAACUUUACACAAUAUUCAAGGUGAGGCCACCCCAGUGCAGAGCAGAGCAGGACAAUCCCCUCCCUUGACCAGUCUGAUGAUGCUUUGCCUGAUGCCCCCCAGGACACGGUUGGCCCUCCUGACUGCCGGGGCACUGCUGACUCAUAUUCAACUUGCCACUGAUCAGGACCCCCCAGGUACCUUUCCACGGCACCACUUUCCACCAUCUCAUUCCCCAGUCUGUACGUACAUCCAGGGUUGCCCCAUCCCAGGUGCAGAAUCUGGCACUUUCCCUUGUUGAACUCCUUAUGGUUGGUGAUUGCCCAGUUCUUCGAAUUGUGGAUACUUGAUUAGGUGUACAGUGUAGUGUCAUUAUGGCUGGUUUUUAAUUUAAUAGUUUAACAUAUAAAUUACAGCACUAACACAGACUGGAUAAAAGGACUGCAGUGACUUCUACCAUUUGGAGUAAUUCACAUCACUUGGAACUACUGCUGAGCUACCUCUGGCAAAUAAAAGAAUGAGCUACAGGGCUGUUAAAAAGAUUUCUGAAUAGUAAUGACAUUGCCAUUGGUGGGAACUAUUGAGAACCACAGAGCUUUCAGCCUUUUUCCCCAGCACAGGAUUCUCCUAAACUUCAGGUUUUUGUUUGUCUCAUAGGAAGUGACACCUACUUAGAUGCUUUGCUUUUUAAUCUACCUGCUCUCUGGCUGCAGCAAUGUAAGUAUAGAUAUGGAAGAAAGGCUCAUAAGUCAGCACAGUAUUUCUCACCACCGAAAACUGGUGCAUGGUUUUGUUUAAUAUGUGAAAUGUUAUGACAGCAUUCAAAAGAAUUUAUGAGUUUACAAGUAAGAUUAAAUCAGUUCCAAAGACAGUGUCGGACUAUGUCCAACACUGUCAAUAAAAUAUUAUAUAGCACUGUUAUUUCUCCAAGGAUUCUGGAGAGUCCAACUUUACUCUCAUGGGAUUUGCUGUCACUUUCAGUCUAAGGAACAGGAAAUUGCCACAAUCUGCUAGGUGCUUGCAAUUUGGUCAUAGCAGCAUGUGCUGGAGGAAACAGUAGAUCCCAGAAGAUUCUUGUCUUGUGCUGUGGAAAAAAAGGUCUUACCUCUUGGGAAGUUCAAAGCACUUCCUUAAUUUCUUACCAACCAGAAGCAGUUAAGAAUAAACCUGAGCUUAUGAGCUGUCAGAUUAAUGGUAAGAGAUUUCCUCUAAUCUUAACUGGUCCUUGGCUUUAUAGCACAGAAGAGAUUUGCCAUGCAAAGCAUCCACAGUGCUGUGUCACACAUCAGUUGUUCCCUUUCCAAAGAACAUCAACCUAACCAAAAGAAUAAAGGCUAUGGAAAGGGCAGGCAGAGUGUGAAUGCACAACCCCUCAUUAAGAAACCUGAUUGCUCUUCUCCUUCCUCUCCUCCUUUUUCUUUUCUGGUGCAACAUAUGUCUUUGAUUCCUUGGCAAUGAAAAGUACUUCACACAAUGGAGGAGGCUGUUUGGCUGAUAUCAGAGGCAAUUCCAGCUUCAUGCUGUUGACACGGUCCAUUAACUGUUGAAUCUGUGCAGACUCCAGCCAUGCUGUUGCCUCCACAUUCCUGGGCUUGGAUUCGUGCCCUUCCUGCCCACAGCCAGUGUGUG